rnacentral:rRNA from 1 species
GACGAACGCUGGCGGCGUGCUUAACACAUGCAAGUCGAACGGAAAGGCCCUGCUUUUGUGGGGUGCUCGAGUGGCGAACGGGUGAGUAACACGUGAGUAACCUGCCCUUGACUUUGGGAUAACUUCAGGAAACUGGGGCUAAUACCGGAUAGGAGCUCCUGCUGCAUGGUGGGGGUUGGAAAGUUUCGGCGGUUGGGGAUGGACUCGCGGCUUAUCAGCUUGUUGGUGGGGUAGUGGCUUACCAAGGCUUUGACGGGUAGCCGGCCUGAGAGGGUGACCGGCCACAUUGGGACUGAGAUAAGGCCCAGACUCCUACGGGAGGCAGCAGUGGGGAAUAUUGCACAAUGGGCGGAAGCCUGAUGCAGCAACGCAGCGUGCGGGAUGACGGCCUUCGGGUUGUAAACCGCUUUCGCCUGUGACGAAGCGUGAGUGACGGUAAUGGGUAAAGAAGCACCGGCUAACUACGUG